CUUCCUUCAUCCUUAAAUCUCAGACAGAAGGAUGUCUUUUCUGGCCAAACUGCAGGAUCAGGUAACAAACAGCCCCUGAUAAGCUUUAACUGCAGAUGGCACCGAGGCAAUAUCCUUUCUUGGGAAAAAGAAAGAAGAAAGAAGACCUUAAAGAAAAUGUUUCCUUGGAGUCCAGCAUGAGUUUUGCUCAGAACAGUCUUCUGGAGCAGGUAACUCAGGCAGAGGUCAAACAGGGUUUGGUGGUGCCACUGAUGAGUUUCUGCUUCAGACUGGGACUUCAUAUGAGCUGUUAGGGAUGGAUUUUACUCCAGAUUCCCAGCAUUUCAUACUUCUCUUACAUAUUUAAAGCCCAUCCCAGAGUUUUGCAGCUUCAAGAUAUUUUCAAAUUGCCAUUUAUACCUGAUGCCCUACUGCAUUCCUUUAUUAUACUGCAAGGCAAAGCCUUUGGCAGCAUCAGUGAGUCCCUGUUGAAGAGAAGCCAGAAGAGGCUGCAGUGAAAGCUUUGUCCAUACAUAGCAGAGGAAGUCCCCAGGCUAUUUGCUUGCCCUGAGACGCUAGUUAAUCAGUUGGUGUGGUGUAGGGGCCAGCUGUGUAUUGGCCCUCUACUGAUGCUGUAACAACCUUGCCACUGUUAUAAUAUGUUAGACAUAAUUAAUUUUCCCUGGUUGCCAACACCUGGUUUUGCUUAGAUCAAGGACUAAAUGAGUAGUUGACAGUAGUUAAUGAGCUUCUGCAGCAAGCAAUUCAAUUUUUUCACUGACUAAAAUGACUUACUUCUUCUGGGCACCACGCUCCCCCUCCCUGGGAUAUUUGGUACCAUCAGAUCUCCAUUGGGUCAGGCAGGAUCCAUCUCCAUCAGUAAGAGCCUGCAGCAGUGGGUGCUGUCCAGAACUGCCCUCCUCCACUAAGCAGGGGAGCUGUGUUUUUGUCCACAUCUUUCCACACAGGUCUGCAGACCCGUUCAGCUCUUUUACUGGUGACAUGCCCAGCCAGCCAACCCAAGCAGUCCAUCCUCUGCAGCCGUGGUAUCACCUUCCUUGCAGUGAUGGGCUUUGUAAUGGGGCUUUUGGUGUGUCCUGCUCUGGCAGGACUACUAUGGUAGGUCUUCUUCAGUUGUCCAAUAGAAUCAUGCAACAGUUUGGAAUGGAAGGGACUUAAAGAUCAUCCAGUUCCAAUCCCGUUGACAUAGGCAGAGACUCCUUCCACUAGACUAGGUUGUUCAGAGCCCCAUCCGACCUGGCCUUGAACACUUUCAGGGAUGUUCAGGGAUGAAAUUUUCAACAAUAAAGAUUUUGGUAUGGAUUGCUCAUGGGGAAGAGGAUCUGCUCUGUGCCCAGAUAUUUAGGAACUGUAUCACCAUUUUUCUGCUUUCCCACAGGUGCUUUAGGUGUCAUUGCCUUGCAUUGUGCCAGCUAUAAAGUGCUCUAUAGUGAAAUGAAUAACUUGCUUAUGCUAGACACCUAAAUUCUUCUGAAAAUCAUAGUGAAGUGACUUCCUUAAGAUGGAUUUGGCACUUGGAGGUAUCUGUACAGCAGAAGGGCUGCUCACCUACCUUGUAGCUUUGGUCCCAAAUAAUUUUCCAAACUGGGAGAUAAGUGUCUUUCAAACCACAGGUUGUGAAUGGACAACUGAGUCCAGAUACUUGGCUGUCUGUGUGAAGGAAGCAUUAAAAGGCAGUGGGACAAAUGAGAAAAUGUGACCAUUAGAGACAUACUCUAUGCUUGGCCAAGGCAAAAGUUUGCUGGCAAAGUUUGCCACCACUGUCUGAAUUGACCAUCACAGCAUGUCUAGCUUCCUACAAUUUUAAGUACUUUCUGUCUCCAAUCCACUUUACAAAGAUUCUUUUCUAAGUUUCUCUUGUUUAUGUGGAAUGUAGUCUGGGGAAUUGGGUCAGGUUGACCUAGAGAGAGGACGAAGAAGAAAGUACUUUAAUAAGAGAUCCUGCUCAAUGUCAAUUGUUUGGAUUCUCUCCCUCUUUUGAAUCUACUGGAGAAAUCUAAAGCAUCACCAUGCUUAGAUGAUUAACCAUCCCUGAGAUCACAUAUGUAAAACCCUGUGGACAGAGUGUUUUCCAUAUAGUCUCACUUGUGGCUCCCAGAGCCAUAUGGAGGCUCUGUGGUCCUCUGCAGACUGCAGAUAGUCCGUGUCAAAAGCAGUGUUCCCAUACUGUUAUUGCCUCUGCUGGGGACUGACAAUGUUCACAUGGCCUCCCUGGAGCCCACAAACCAUCUGCAAAUAUAUUCCUGGAAUGGCCAAACCCCAAGGUUCUUGAGCUGUUGGGAUCCCAUAGCACAAGUGAGUUUAUGCUCCAUUAAGCUGCUUAGAAGCAGCUAUAAUGUAAUUAUUACAGUCCUUUUCCCCAUGGCUGUGCAGCAAUGUCAUAAACAUGGAAUGAUUAUUUAAUUAUAAAAAAUAUUCUGGUAAUUAUUCAUCAAGAUGCUGAUGAUACUGAAUUCACAGCAGAACUGUGGUAAGAAGAAAGUGGCUGUACUUCACCAGAAUGAAUCUUCUUGGUGACAACUUCAACAUCAAUGGGAAGUAAAAAGGAAAUAAAAAGGGCAAGAAGGAAAAAGGUGUCUUAUUCUUAGUCAUUUUUUGAAACCAUCCUCCUAAUUCCAGACUUGUGUCAGUUUCAUGUGAUAGAUGUGAUAAUAUCUCAAGACAAAAUAAAAGCAUAUUUCUUUUUUACUAUUCUGCUCCAAGGAAAAAAGACAAAUUAUGCCUUGUGAAGAAGCAAUUUGCUAUAAAGUGUAAAAAUGCUUUAAUAUUAAUAUUUUAUAAUAAAAUUCAUGACAUAUUUAUAAACACUCUAUCAAGCAUUUACAACUGAACCACAGCUGAGAGCUUGGACUGGAAUAAAUAAGCAAGGACACAGCUAGUAUGAAAUAUACAGCUUAAUUUUUAUAAUUGUGUGUGCUUUAUUCUUUACACAAAUGGAAUGGAUGCGCAGAGUAUUUACACAUAACAGGAGUGUAAGCUGGACAGGGUGUUUUGUAAACUCCAGUUCAGAUUCUGAGUACCCCACACUACAGCUGGACUGAGAAACAUCCUGCUAAAGAGACGCACACCGGACAUUGUGCUGGAGGGAGCAGCUUGGUGCAUACAGGCUGCUGCACUCAGAAAUUCAAACUGGCCAAUUCAAAUUUAGGAGCACAAAUCCAGAAAUUAAAAGGCUAUCCCACUAAGAGCCAACAGUGUUGCCAUUUCCCCCCCCUUUUUUUUAAUGCUUUUUCCCCCCACACCAAAGAUCUUGCCUAGGAUGCUGGCUCCUGUGCCCAGAAAUGCUGUUUUACAUCAGGGCAAGUUGCUUGUGCUGUAGGGCCAGAAGGUGUAAGCUGCUAGUGUGGUGUGAGAGAUGAUGAAUUGCCUCUCGUGCUUUUCACCUUAAAGGCAAGGUGUCAAAAAGGGCCAAUGAAGUGGUAGUUCCUAUAGCUCUUGGUGAGAUAUCAGUGCAGCUGAAGCCUCCUGCAAAUCCAUUUGGCCCUUGGAAUCUUUUUGUUAGCAAUUUCACAGCAAUGGCCUCAAAAGGAUCUUGGUCCAUUACUUGGCCCUCUGCGUGUUACAGUAAAAUAAGCAGUAAAUAAUGAUGGAAAGUGCUGAGCCGCUGUUUGAUCAGGUGGCCUUGGUGUUUUACAGAGAUGCAAAAAAAUCAGUGUGAUGAGGAGGAUGAAUGUUUAACUUCAGGUGGUAUAAAUGGGAUGGACUCCAUUGAAAUCAGAGGAGUGACUGUGAUUUCCACCAGCUGAGAAUCUAGGCUAGCAAUAUGCUGGAUAGAUUUUGGAUGUUAUCUGUUGUUAGCUUUGACGCUGAUUUGUGUCCUAGAAUGGAAAUUUUCUUUUUUUUUAGCAUAAUAAGCUCAUCCUUAUUCCUGAACCAAUUGACAAAAUGUCUGAUUUUUAAUGGGAAAGAAAAAAGUUUAUUCCACCAAGGAAGGGGCUUGCGCACUUGAAUGCAGUUGCACAGUGAACCACAUGCAUAACAUGACAGGCAGAAUGUUCAAGAGGGAAAAUAUUGAGAUUAAAAGCUGUGAAGGAUAAAAAGACCACUUUCUGUGAACACGGCAGAUAUUAUGGCUUUAAAUCUGCAUCUGAAAAAGGAGGUUGAUACUUCUUCCUCAACACAGUUUUUUCCUAUAAAUAUCCUCAUGUGUUUUCACUCACUGAAUCCUCUGGUCAGGGAUACAAUUUGAAAAACAAAAACUAAAAUAUAAGAAAACAAAAACAAAAAUACAAUUUGACUGGGUGCUGAUAAGCGAGUAACAGUGAAGGUGUAAUGCCAACAAUUUCUCCAUAGAAAACUAAUAUAAAUAGGUAGGUGGAUGCUGUAUACCUAGGACACUGUUGCUGGCUCGUAGUGGUUAUUAGCUCGGGUACCACACUGCUCUCCAGGAAGAGGAUUUGUAAUUUCAGUGCAAUGGAGAGAUUUCUUAUCCUUGACUUUCACCAAGUGGUUCUUAGGACCCUAUCCACACCGGAGCAUCAAACCAUGCUAGCUACAAACACAAUUACAUCACAGAAUAUUGAUCUAGAAACAGCCUUUACUAUCAAAGAAAUUACAAAGCGCUAGCAUGGACAGGGUACCUCUGUAGGAAGGGGGAUUAAGCAAGAAAGAGGCUCUUCCACUGGUUGAUGGUCAGACUGUAAGACCAGUGAAGAAGUGCCAUUCCACUGAGCCCUGUUAGCAAGCUCUCAAGGAGUCAGUGCAUGGAAGAUUUUUUUAUUUUUUGUUUGUGGCAAGGAAAAAUAAUUAAGUUGUAAUAUUGCACAUCUGCACAAAGCUAGCGAGAUGUCAUUGUGAUCAUUCAUGGGUGGACAAAAAGCUGUGAUAUUUUGAUUCUGCUUAGACCCUAUGGUGCUACACACUGUGCCAGAACAUGAGAUAUAGCACCAGGGGUGUGAUCUGGCACUUUUCCUAAAGGGUCCAGCAUUUGCAUUUGUCUCAUGGUUAGACACUCCCAAGUCUUUAACAUGGACAGAAAAGGAAUCUGAUUAUGCUAAGCUGUGUUAGCACCAAUAUGGAGUCAGGCGCCAAUUGCUGUGGGCUGUGAGUUUGGACUUCUUUUUCACCAGAUGUAAUUUUGCAUGAGUCUUAUGCUUUUCUUCCUCCUCCCACUACCACCCAGUAUGAUCUGAACAGCUGCAAUGCAAAAAUGGACUGCAGCUCUUAGGAUGCUGCAACAUGGAACGCAAAACAUCAACACACAAAACAAAUGGGAGUACAAGUCCUAAGGGAAAUAAGACCUCUUACUGAUUCUCUUGACGAUUUGUUUUUAAAUAUAUGUUUUAUUUAAAAAAAAAAAAAAGAAGUGCAAUGUCAACUCUAAAAUGGAAGCACAAACAACAGACAGGGAAAAAUAAAUAAUGUUACUACAGUAACCAAGGACUGAUGGAAAAAUUGAUUGUACUCAGCCGUAGUGUUACUGUUCACUGUAAAGCACAGCACAUGACAAAGCAAAACAGUUACUAGUAGGAUAGUACCAUAAAAGGCUGCAUGCUGAACUAAGAAACAAAGAAGCAGAUGUGAUUGAUUGCUUAAAAACAGAGCUGAAAAUUAGAAUGAAGUUCCUGCUUUAGGAUACUUGGUUUUUCAGGUCUGGUGGGCUAUUUCCCAACCUGGGGCAAUAGUAUUUUGCUAGCAUGGAAAAAUCCAUGGCUUCCAAAGAUCUGGGGUCACUCUGUGGACUUCUGCAAAAUUAUCCAAAAUCAAAGCACUCAUUAAUUAAUAUUAAAAAAAAAAAGUUAAUAGCCCUUCUGGUUACAAAGCUCUUCUGGAGACUUAACUGAAACCCUUGUUUAUAAAGCUGCGCUGACCAGGCAGGAAAAGUAGUUAAAGAAGUGUGAACUUCUCAGAGUUACCAUAGUUGGGCAGUAAGCAUGAGAGGCCCGCUCAAGAGCCCAUAAAAUGCCCGUGUUUUUAACCCUGUCACUGCUGGUGGCUUUUGCAAACAUCCAGCUCGUCGCGCUGUCUGCGGAAGGUGGCUGGGUAGCCCUGUCAGCUGGACAGGGUGCAGAAGUGUAAGCUCCAAACAGACAAGUGCCAGAGGAGUCUAUUCAGCAUUUGCCUUUAAGACGUCCAUAAGCAUUAGGGCUGCUGUAGCCACCAGCUAUAAGCAUCGCACUCCUGCAGUGCAGCAGAGGCAGGAGUGUGGGUUUCAUAGAGAACAUGGUCCAGCAGCAGCAAAGGCAAUUCAGUUUUACUGUCAUAGCAUCUGUUGCAGUUGUCUCCUUGUAAGUCAGUGAGGAAUGGCAUCACUAUACAGAAGAAGGGCAAUGUGAAAUGAGAAAAAAAAUAUCUCCUCCCCUUCCGUACACCCCAGACUGCAAUUCCACAGACUUUUCCCCAAAUCCCUCACAAAUGUCUAUUGCCUCAGUUUUUGCUUUUAAGACCCUUGUUGACUGUGAAAUGAAUGAAGAUACAAGUUAGUUGGUGACCUGCCUGCAAAGAGAGGAAAGAUCAAAUGCUUUUGUUAUUUCCCUGAGGGAAACAGGAAGAGUCAUAAAACAUUUGGGGAUUAAGGGUGCCUCCUUCCUAAGAGAGAAAUUAUUAGCUGCAUUUAAGCACUGACAUUUUGCUACUGAAUAGUUGUCCCUCUCAAAGAUGCAUUAUCCUUUUGUGUUCAGAAAAUUCCUACAGGGCAGUGAGUUCAAGAGAUCUUUCCACAGGAGUUCAUCAUGAUUAAACAGUGGCAAGGGAGAGGAUUAAAUUGAAAGAAAAAAAGAUGACAACUACUAUUUAAGGGAUUUUCUUGCUUGUCAUUAAUAAUAGGGAAUCUGUUAUGGAAGAGGUAUAAUGCAACUUGAUGGUCCUCUUUACAUUUGACAGUCGCACAAGGGUGUAAAUAUUUAAUCUUUCAAUUAAUUAAUCUUUACAAAAUAUCUUCACAAAAACAUUUUACCUAUAGAAAUUAGUUUCUAUACAUCAAUAUAAUUUUUUAUAAAUUAUUCCAUCUUUAAGUGCCUUCUAUCAAUAUAAAUGAUAAAAUAGACAAUCAAAAAUUUUAAAGCUUUUCCCAGUUGUAUCCCUCCUUGUUAACAUAGGUGCUGUGAAUCCUCAUACAUGUGUCUGUCUGCAUGGGAAUGUGUUUGUGUGCACACGUGUAUGGUGCGAAAUGCUUCCAUCCUCUCCCACCCCUAAACACCAUUAAAAUAAACCAUAUUGUUGGUAGUUCUUGAUGCAAUAGUGCUUCCAAAGGGGGAAAAAAAAA